AUUGAACGCUGGCGGCAUGCUUUACACAUGCAAGUCGAACGGUAACAGGCCGCAAGGUGCUGACGAGUGGCGAACGGGUGAGUAAUGCAUCGGCACGUGCCCAGCCGGGGGGGAGAACGCAGCGAAAGCUGUGCGAAUACCGCAUACGAUCUAUGGAUGAAAGCGGGGGACCGUAAUGCCUCGCGCGAUUGGAGCGGCCGAUGUCAGAUUAGGUAGUUGGUGGGGUAAAGGCCCACCAAGCCAACGAUCUGUAGCUGGUCUGAGAGGACGACCAGCCACACUGGGACUGAGACACGGCCCAGACUCCUACGGGAGGCAGCAGUGGGGAAUUUUGGACAAUGGGCGCAAGCCUGAUCCAGCAAUGCCGCGUGAAGGAAGAAGGCCUUCGGGUUGUAAACUGCUUUUGUACGGAACGAAACGGUCUGGGUUAAUACCCUGGGCUAAUGACGGUACCGUAAGAAUAAGCACCGGCUAACUACGUGCCAGCCGCCGCUGUAACAC
rnacentral:rRNA from 1 species